ACUCCUACGGGAGGCAGCAGUGGGGAAUAUUGCACAAUGGGCGCAAGCCUGAUGCAGCAACGCCGUGUGAGUGAAGAAGGUUUUCGGAUCGUAAAACUCUGUCCUAAGGGAAGAAAAAAUGACGGUACCUUAGGAGGAAGCCCGGCUAACUACGUGCCAGCAGCCGCGGUAAUACGUAGGGGGCAAGCGUUAUCCGGAAUCACUGGGGCGUAAAGGGGUGCGUAGGCGGCUUAGCAAGCCAGGGGUGAAAGGCAUUGGCUCAACCAAUGUAAGCCUUUGGAACUGUUAAGCUUGAGUGCAGGAGAGGUAAGUGGAAUUCCUAGUGUAGAGGUGAAAUUCGUAGAUAUUAGGAGGAACACCAGUGGCGAAGGCGACUUACUGGACUGUAACUGACGCUGAUGCACGAAAGCGUGGGUAGCGAACAGGAUUAGAUACCCUGGUAGGUCAGUC
rnacentral:rRNA from 1 species